UCAGUAUAAUUCCAGAUGAAUCACAUAGUUCAAACAGUCUACAAAUUAAAACCAAACAGUCCAUCACCGUCCAUUACAAACCUAAAUCGUUCGAGUCAAUACCAAACAGUCCUAAUUCAGCAAUUCUCUAAUGCAACAUAAUUCAAAUAAACUACAAUCAAACAAAUACAUUGGGCUGCCUACAGUUACAGAGAUUCAGAUGAGCAUAAUACUUCAUUUCAUUCCAAGUUUUGAGGUUACAUCAAAGUGAAUUUGAAGAGUGUACCUGGAAAUUGGGAAGGAAUAAGGAGAAGGAGAAGUUAGCAACAAACAGACGAGCAGCAAACACAGUAGCACUUGAGAACCCAGAAAAUAGAAGGAGCAGCCCAGAAAUAAAUUGAAUCCAACAGCAAUAGAAGAUAAAACCAACUCAAAUCUCCAAAACAGUAUCAAAUGCUCAAAUAUGCGACCCAAAUCUACUCGACCAGCUAACAAAUACCUCCAGACACCCUUGUAAACCCACGAAUCAAGCAUGAGCAGAGAAAUUCAAAUAGGAAUUAAACGAGCUUAAUGUUUGUUGGGGAAGAAGAAGAGAAAAUGAGGAAGAAGAUGAAGAAGAAGCUGCGCAGGUUAGGCGUUAGGGUUAGCCAAAUCUGUAAG
rnacentral:lncRNA from 1 species